UACGGAGGAUCCAAGCGUUAUCCGGAAUCAUUGGGUUUAAAGGGUCCGUAGGCGGUUUGGUAAGUCAGUGGUGAAAGCCCAUCGCUCAACGGUGGAGCGGCCAUUGAUACUGCCAGACUUGAAUUAUUAGGAAGUAACUAGAAUAUGUAGCGUAGCGGUGAAAUGCUUAGAGAUUACAUGGAAUACCAAUUGCGAAGGCAGGUUACUACUAAUGGAUUGACGCUGAUGGACGAAAGCGUGGGUAGCGAACAGG
rnacentral:rRNA from 1 species